UCAUGCUCUCGGAAGCAAACUGUGUCUCUCUCCCUUCUUCGAUUUCGUCGACGACUCCGACGGCUAUUUCUUCAUCUCUCAACGAUCUGAUGAUCUCCUCGGCAACUCCGCGUCUCUGUCGGUCUCCUCUCUCUCCGUUCCAUUAAAGCAAUCACACGGCAAAGGAAUCACAAGACUCGUACCAACAUCAAGAGACUCGAUAUCCGGAUUGGCCACCUGAAUCUGCUCCGGGGAGACGAGACCGCCGUAAACAGAGCCGUAAUACAUGAUCAGAUUCUUUUAAGUUGUUGUAGAAUCAGAGAGCUCCGUAAUACAUUCCAUCCAUGGCUUCUCCUUUUGAGCAUCGUCCAGCUUCACUCGAUGCUACAGCCAGUGGCUAAUGUAGAAUCCUUUUUUUAUGGGGGCAAAACACAUAUAAACUUAAAUAUAUGGCUAAGACAUGAUAUUUAAUAGGAUAAAGUAACUAAAGUUUGAGGUAUAAUAUGCAAAUUUUGAAAUUUUUGUGGUGGCACUUUCCCCCAUAUGCUCAACGUGUUUGGAUCACCAGAAACUUCACGGUAUUAUUACCACUCAACUAUCUUCUUUCUUGGAUUGAGAAAGUAGUUAACUUUCCAUGUCUUGCAUGCCAAAUUGUAUUUGUCAGAUUUUGGGUUUUUGUUUUGGAUUGUUGUAGGGUCUGCAAGAAAAGAUUAAACUUGUUCCUUUGGAUCUUGGGAAUAGGCCUGCUUGGUACAAGGAGAAAGUCUAUCCUGAAAACAAGGUGCCAGCACUUGAGCACAAUGGCAAAAUCAUAGGGGAGAGUCUUGAUUUGAUCAAGUAUCUCGACAACACUUUUAAAUCAUCUUCCUCACCAAUCAAAUGGCGUCUUUGUCUGGUUCCUAAAUUAAUGAGAUGGACGUAGAGAACACUGAUGAGAUAAGAUGGACGUACGAAGAUUUGAUUGGGUCCUUUGUUUCAACAGCGACCGUAUCCAUCACCUGGAGCUGUUCUGAGGAGAAACGCAGAGACGGCAUCGUCGCAGAAGAAGAAACCAAACUCUCAUUUCACGGAAAUCACAAAGAGAGGCGAUGGAAAAGAUUGUCUUGGUGAUGCAGAUUUAGAAAGAGAGAGAGAGAGAGAGAGAGAGAGAGAGAGACUUAUUCUUGCCCUGUAUGUUUGAUUUUCUCCAUAUACAUGUAUGACCUUGAGAGUAGUUUGUUUACUGGUCUGGUCUAGCGAAAACACGUAACCAUACUUUAAAUGUGA